GUAACGCGUGAGCGACAUGCCCGUUGCCCGGGGACAACCGGUGGAAACGCCGACUAAUCCCCGAUGGGAUAUUGUGCCGCAUGGCACGAUAUUGAAAGUUACGGCGGCGACGGAUUGGCUCGCGUCCGAUUAGCUUGUUGGCGGGGUAACGGCCCACCAAGGCUACGAUCGGUAGGGGUUCUGAGAGGAAGGCCCCCCACAAUGGGACUGAGACACGGCCCAUACUCCUACGGGAGGCAGCAGUGAGGAAUAUUGGUCAAUGGGCGGAAGCCUGAACCAGCCAUGCCGCGUGCGGGAAGGAGGCCCUAUGGGCUGUGAACCGCUUUUGCCUGGGGGCAAUAAGGGCGUCGCGCACGCCCGAUGAGAGUACCAGGCGAAUAAGCAUCGGCUAACUCCGUGCCAGCAGCCGCGGUAAUACGGGGGAUGCGGGCGUUAUCCGGAUUCAUUGGGUUUAAAGGGUGCGUAGGCUGUGCGUCAAGUCGGGGGUGAAAUUCCGGUGCUCAACACCGGGGCUGCCCUUGAUACUGUCGCGCUGGAGUGCGGAUGCCGCCGGAGGAAUGAGUGG
rnacentral:rRNA from 1 species